AGAGUUUGAUCCUGGCUCAGGAUGAACGCUGGCGGCGUGCUUAACACAUGCAAGUCGAACGAAGAAGGUUAGAAUGAGAGCUUCGGCAGGAUUUCUUUCCAUCUUAGUGGCGGACGGGUGAGUAACGUGUGGGCAACCUGCCCUGUACUGGGGAAUAAUCAUUGGAAACGAUGACUAAUACCGCAUGUGGUCCUCGGAGGGCAUCUUCUGAGGAAGAAAGGAUUUAUUCGGUACAGGAUGGGCCCGCAUCUGAUUAGCUAGUUGGUGAGAUAACAGCCCACCAAGGCGACGAUCAGUAGCCGACCUGAGAGGGUGAUCGGCCACAUUGGGACUGAGACACGGCCCAAACUCCUACGGGAGGCAGCAGUGGGGAAUAUUGCACAAUGGGCGAAAGCCUGAUGCAGCAACGCCGCGUGAAGGAUGAAGGGUUUCGGCUCGUAAACUUCUAUCAAUAGGGAAGAAACAAAUGACGGUACCUAAAUAAGAAGCCCCGGCUAACUACGUGCCAGCAGCCGCGGUAAUACGUAGGGGGCAAGCGUUAUCCGGAAUUACUGGGUGUAAAGGGAGCGUAGGCGGCAUGGUAAGCCAGAUGUGAAAGCCUUGGGCUUAACCCGAGGAUUGCAUUUGGAACUAUCAAGCUAGAGUACAGGAGAGGAAAGCGGAAUUCCUAGUGUAGCGGUGAAAUGCGUAGAUAUUAGGAAGAACACCAGUGGCGAAGGCGGCUUUCUGGACUGAAACUGACGCUGAGGCUCGAAAAGCGUGGGGAGCAAACAGGAUUAGAUACCCUGGUAGUCCACGCCGUAAACGAUGAGUGCUAGGUGUCGGGGAGGAAUCCUCGGUGCCGCAGCUAACGCAAUAAGCACUCCACCUGGGGAGUACGACCGCAAGGUUGAAACUCAAAGGAAUUGACGGGGGCCCGCACAAGCGGUGGAGCAUGUGGUUUAAUUCGAAGCAACGCGAAGAACCUUACCAAGGCUUGACAUCCCGAUGACCGUCCUGGAGAUAGGACUUCUCUUCGGAGCAUCGGUGACAGGUGGUGCAUGGUUGUCGUCAGCUCGUGUCGUGAGAUGUUGGGUUAAGUCCCGCAACGAGCGCAACCCUUAUCUUCAGUAGCCAUCAUUCAGUUGGGCACUCUGGAGAGACUGCCGUGGAUAACACGGAGGAAGGUGGGGAUGACGUCAAAUCAUCAUGCCCCUUAUGUCUUGGGCUACACACGUGCUACAAUGGCUGGUAACAAAGUGACGCAAGACGGUGACGUUAAGCAAAUCACAAAAACCCAGUCCCAGUUCGGAUUGUAGUCUGCAACUCGACUACAUGAAGCUGGAAUCGCUAGUAAUCGCGAAUCAGCAUGUCGCGGUGAAUACGUUCCCGGGCCUUGUACACACCGCCCGUCACACCAUGGGAGUUGGAAGCACCCGAAGUCGGUGACCUAACCGUAAGGAAGGAGCCGCCGAAGGUGAAGCCAGUGACUGGGGUGAAGUCGUAACAAGGU
rnacentral:rRNA from 1 species